rnacentral:lncRNA from 1 species
GAUGAGGAGAUCGGCGUCCAGGGCGGCGGAGAGAUCAUCGACACAACAGGCGCCGUAGGUGACGUCACCGAGGACGAAGCAGCGGUCCAUGGCGGCGACGGAGGUGAGGAUGUCGGAGAUGACGAGUGAGUGAGUACAUCAAAAUCCAUCAAAACUCCUACAUCACACCCUAUAAAGAGAGACAGAGAGUGUGAAGAAGAAGAAGACUUAUAGGAUCUACAUUUUCAAGGUGCUGAAGCGGCGGCAAAGGAGGAGGACGAAGGGGAGGAGAGAGGAGGCGGUAAGGGAGAUAAAGAGAAUGAGCGGAUGAGUGUUUUUCCUAAAUUAAGAAAUCCUAAUUGCACUAAUAUUGUAAAUAAAUAUGGGAAAAUUAUUAUUUUUGUAAUUAUUUUGAUGAUGCACUAAUAGUGUAAUUACUUACUAAAUGUUGUAUAUUAUUGUAAAGGACCCG